UGUUCUUCGCUACGACAACUACAAGAAACA
rnacentral:piRNA from 1 species